rnacentral:rRNA from 1 species
GUAGGGAAUAUUGCGCAAUGGACGAAAGUCUGACGCAGCGACACCGUGUGAAGGAUGAAGAUCUUCGGAUUGUAAACUUCUGUCAAUUGGGGACGAAGGUACUGGGGUUAAUAGCCUUCAGUAUUGACGGUACCCAAUAAGGAAGUCUCGGCUUACUCCGUGCCAGCAGCCGCGGUAAGACGGGGGAGGCAAGCGUUGUCCGGAAUUAUUGGGCGUAAAGAGCGCGUAGGUGGUAUAUCAAGUCAUUUGUGAAAACUUUAGGCUUAACUUAAAGACUGCAAGUGAUACUGAUAUACUUGAGCACAGCAGAGGAAAGUGGAAUUCCUGGUGUAGCGGUGAAAUGCGCAGAUAUCAGGAAGAACACCAGUGGCGAAGGCGGCUUUCUGGGCUGUUGCUGACACUGAGGCGCGAAAGCUAGGGGAGCAAACAGGAUUAGAUACCCGGGUAGUCC